GAACGAGAAAGUGGAGCAAUCCAUGAGUAAAGUGGCGACCGGGUGAGUAACACGUGACUAACCUACCUCCGAGUGGGGAAUAACUCCGGGAAACCGGGGCUAAUACCGCAUAACAUCGCAAGAUCAAAGCAGCAAUGCGCUUGGAGAGGGGGUCGCGGCUGAUUAGCUAGUUGGCGGGGUAACGGCCCACCAAGGCGAAGAUCGGUAUCCGGCCUGAGAGGGCGCACGGACACACUGGAACUGAAACACGGUCCAGACUCCUACGGGAGGCAGCAGUGGGGAAUUUUGCGCAAUGGGGGAAACCCUGACGCAGCAACGCCGCGUGGAGGAUGAAGCCCUUUGGGGCGUAAACUCCUUUCGACUCGGACGAUAAUGACGGUACGAGUGGAAGAAGCACCGGCUAACUCUGUG
rnacentral:rRNA from 1 species